UCCUGAUAAUGCAGUGGUUAGCAUUCGUCCUGGAAAGAUGAGACGCUGGUUCGACUCCCGCGUGAGGAU